GAAGCUAAAGCUGUGUGUAUUUGUGGAUCAGACAAGCGCAGCAAGUUAAUAUCAUUGGCUUCUGAAGGGGAGAGUGAGGUGAUGGCUGCGUUUAAGUUGGAUUUCCUUCCAGAAAUGAUGGUGGAUCAUUGCUCUUUGAAUUCCAGUCCCGUCUCAAAGAAAAUGAACGGCACCCUGGACCACCCAGACCAACCGGAUCUUGAUGCUAUCAAGAUGUUUGUGGGCCAGGUUCCGAGGACCUGGUCUGAGAAGGACUUGAGGGAACUCUUUGAACAGUAUGGUGCUGUCUAUGAAAUCAACGUUCUAAGAGAUAGGAGCCAAAACCCUCCUCAGAGCAAAGGGUGCUGUUUUGUUACGUUUUACACCCGCAAAGCUGCAUUAGAAGCACAGAAUGCUCUUCACAAUAUGAAGGUCCUCCCAGGGAUGCAUCAUCCUAUACAGAUGAAACCUGCCGAUAGUGAGAAGAGCAAUGCAGUGGAAGACAGGAAGCUGUUUAUUGGUAUGAUUUCCAAGAAGUGCACUGAAAAUGACAUCCGAGUCAUGUUCUCUUCAUUUGGACAGAUUGAAGAAUGUCGGAUAUUGCGGGGACCUGAUGGACUGAGCCGAGGUUGUGCAUUUGUGACUUUUACAACAAGAGCAAUGGCACAGACAGCUAUCAAGGCAAUGCACCAAGCACAGACCAUGGAGGGUUGCUCAUCCCCCAUGGUGGUAAAAUUUGCUGAUACACAGAAGGACAAAGAACAGAAGAGAAUGGCCCAGCAGCUCCAGCAGCAGAUGCAGCAAAUCAGCGCAGCAUCUGUGUGGGGAAACCUUGCUGGUCUCAAUACUCUUGGACCCCAGUAUUUAGCACUUUAUUUGCAGCUCCUUCAGCAGACUGCCUCCUCUGGGAACCUCAACACCCUGAGCAGCCUCCACCCAAUGGGAGGGUUAAAUGCAAUGCAGUUACAGAAUUUGGCUGCCCUAGCUGCUGCCGCUAGUGCUGCUCAGAGCACACCUAGUGGUACCAACGCUCUCACUACAUCCAGCAGUCCCCUCAGCGUACUCACCAGUUCAGGGUCUUCACCGAGCUCCAGCAGUAGCAACUCUGUCAACCCCAUCGCCUCCCUUGGAGCCUUGCAGACAUUAGCUGGAGCAACGGCAGGCCUCAAUGUCAGCUCAUUGGCAGGUGAGAGGCAGUCCAUGGAUGUCAUCAGGCCUUUCUUUGUGCAGGUAGCACAUUAUAAACAACCCUGGGAUGGCCGCUUUAAAUGGUGGCCUGGGCAGCAGUGGCCUUUCCAAUGGCACUGGGAGCACCAUGGAGGCCCUCACGCAGGCCUACUCGGGGAUCCAGCAGUAUGCCGCCGCGGCGCUCCCCACGCUGUACAACCAGAAUCUGUUGACACAGCAGAGUAUUGGUGCUGCUGGAAGCCAGAAGGAAGGUCCAGAGGGAGCCAACCUGUUCAUCUACCACCUGCCCCAGGAAUUUGGCGAUCAGGACCUGCUGCAGAUGUUCAUGCCCUUUGGGAAUGUUGUAUCUGCCAAGGUUUUUAUAGACAAGCAGACAAACCUGAGCAAGUGUUUUGGUUUUGUAAGUUACGACAAUCCUGUUUCGGCUCAAGCUGCCAUCCAGUCCAUGAACGGCUUUCAGAUUGGCAUGAAGCGGCUUAAAGUGCAGCUCAAACGUUCGAAGAAUGACAGCAAGCCCUACUGAGCGUGCUCCCCUCUGAGACUGGAGUGAGGGUCUUCUGGCACAGCUUGCCCUGAAGACUCGGCUACUGCCUUCUGUGGGAGUUUCGCUUCGUACAGAGGACAAGUUUGUGCUUUGGUUUCCAGUGUUUUACUUUGGAGUUUAGGUGCCAUAUCCUGAGUGUUUUUUUUUUUUCCUUUUUUUUUUUCCCCCCCCCCUUUAUUUAAAGUUUGCUGUGUUUGUAACCAGUGUAUGUUGAGAAGGACCAACAUCAAACCACCCUGGGGGAGGAGAGGGAAUGGAGAAACGUUACAGAAGAUCAGAACUUGUCCAAAACUACCCUGAGACAGGACUGAGUGAAACCAAAACUGACCCCCAGAAUGUCCCUGAGUUUGAGAGUGGAUGAAAUGAGAGCUGCCGUCCAAGAGCUGGGGGUGGGAGGGUGGAGCUGGUGGGGGUGGCUUUGAGGAGAGAGAGGGACUUGCUGUCCACGGCCCUGCGAGGUGUCGGCGGAACUCUCCUAUAGCUGCUGCUGUGGAAGCACAGGUUUUGUCCAAGAUCUCCGCCCCUCUUUCCCAAGAAGGGGCUAACAAUUCUCUGGAAAUAAAAUACCCGUUAAGUUAACCUGACAUAUGCGAAAAGCAGAGAGACAUCACCCAUUGCCAGCUGUUCCAGCCAGCCGUUGGUGUAGGGUGGGCCCUGCCAGGCUGGUGGCUGUUAAAAAGAAGCAGCCGGUCAGAGGUCAGUUUUAGUUUAUUAUAACAGAUCAUUAGACCAUGGCCCCUUUCUUAUGGAGUGUCUAGGGAGACACACUGGUUUCCUUCUUUGUAGUUGACCACAGCAAGGAGUGUCAUUUCAUCCCAAGCUACUGUUUUAUCACGAAGGCAGAACCAAGAAGGGCUGACAGUACCUGGCUGAGGGGGCACUUCUCCUGAGCAGAGUGAUCAAAAGCCAUCUAGUGGGGGGAGAGGAGCCUGCUUCUUGGUGCAUCUGCAUCAGAAGGUCCCUUCAAGCUAGAGUACUUCAUUUGCCAGAGGCCAGCCAACGCUUGGUACUUAAAAGGACUGAGAAAUCCAUGCUUGUCUCCUUGGUUGAGGUGUCCCAGAUGUAGUGUUUUCAUCAAGGCAGUCCCCUCUCCUAAGCACUCCAGCCCUGUCUUCUUCUCUUGGGGACAGAGGGGACAACAGGACGUUUACAGCCUCCAUAUGGAUUUAGUAUUUAUUUACCUCAGUAUUACCAUGUUCGUUUUUGUCCAUGUGCUUACCGUUAGCUCCCUGCUGCCUCCCACAGGUCUUAUUCCAGCUCUUGCCUGUGAUCUCCCCAGCCUCUGGGCUCUGCCUCUGCUCCAAGAAAUACUUGGGAGUGGAGAGCCAGGAAGGACAUGCUGUUGGGAAAUGCACUUGGACCCAGGUAGUCCUGACUUGUAAUCCAGGCCAGUGACUGGGUCCCUGCGAUCUUAAAUUCACAGACAUCAGUCCUGACCCCCAGCAGCAGAGAUGAGAUCAAAGGGGUUGGUUUGCUAAUAAGUUGAGUGGGGACUCUCUCCUUGUCAUGCUGUCCAUUUGGGUCACAGACAGGGAUUGGCCAUCUUGCUGUUGUACAGAUGUCUGGGUUAUCCCACUGAAGCUGGGACAGCUGUUCCCUUCUCAUAGUGAUAAUUGGGUCUGUUGUCCUCUAAGAAACGUGAAAACUUCUUAAGCUGAACCACGUAAACUUGAAUUCUGCGCACUGGGUGAAAUGUGUCCUGUGUUUCAAGGAUAAAACUGUUCCAAAGGCUUCCAGGGUCGUGAUGGGAUUUUUUAAAUAAAUGCAAAAAAUAAAAUAAAAAAGAAAAAAAAAAAUGCUAGGUUGGGGAGGCGCUGUUCUGAAUCCCAACCGGCCGGAAUUAAGAAUGUUGUUUCUAUUUUUAUAGAAGUUUUAUACAGCUCCGGGGUGGAGAAUAUUUAUUACCUAAAUUAUAUAUCUCUGGAAAAGGCCAGGAUUUUGUAGAAUCCAGAAUGUGAUUGUUAUACACACAGGGUGCUGUGUAUGAUUGAAACUACUGACUUUCUGUAGCCUGUUUGCAGCCCAGCUAAUCUGCCAGAGGGGGAAGGAGUUAAUGCUGUGAAUUGGCGGAGGAGAGAGCUGUGCUCUCCGGGGUGCUGUGGUGCUGUGAUCACUAACCUUCUGUUCUGUCUUCCUCCUUGGCCAUCGUGGGGUUUUCCAAAUCCCAGAAGUCCACUCCGUCCCCACUUUUUCUCCCCUCUCUCCCCCCCCAUUUCACCAUUAUUGUCCACAGAUUUGUCCUGGGCUCUUGAGACAGUUGGAAACCCCUUUCCAAAUGAAAGGCAAAGGUGUGAUCAGCCUGCCGUUGACACCACACCCUGAGGUUUCCGACCUGCUGUGGGUGUUCUUUUCUAAAAGGACCGCUUGCCCCAGCAGGGUCCUGGGCUGCCUCAGGGCCAGCGGGUGAGACUGGGCACUUCUGUCCGUUCUCUUCUCCUGCCAGUGAGUGAGCGCAGCAGCACUGCCCCCGAGCACAGUUUUCUCCCCGGGCCAGAGAUGGUUUUGUGAAGAAGCUGCUCCCCUAAAGUCUCCCGGGGUGAAAGGGUUCAGCUCAGAGAGGAGACUCGCAGUCAAGUCUUAAGCAGUCUUUUGCUGUUGUGUGGGGGAUUCACUUACAUAAAUGUGUCUAAUCAUGUAGUUUUGUUUCCUACUUGGGUUUCAUCAUGAAAUUGAUUUGCCUUGAAUACAUCCAGACACUGUUCCCUGGGUCCCUCAGGAGUGACCAGGGCCUGCGUGGAAGCUAAGAGCUUGGAUUUCUGGGAACAAAGGCCACCCUGUAGGAUUGAGGAGAAAUCCUGGCCCGCUCCCCUAAAGAAUUCUCCCACUCCAGGCUUCUUUCUCCCUGGGUCUUUCCCAGGGAGCUGGAGAGGCCGGGCUCCGCUCCACCGGAGAUCUGACGUGUUUGGAUGCUUCGGGGGAAAUCCAAGCCUUAGUUUCCCUUCUGUCUCUGGCAAUUGGAUGUUUUCUUGGUGUCCUCCAUGUCCUUUUGACUUUUCCCUGUGUCCAUUGUUAGCAUGUGCAAAAGUUCCCUGUCAUCGCCCAGCCCCCGCCCCGCCCGCCUCCUCAUUUCAGGGCUGUACACAGUGAGUGUUCCUGUUCUCUCUCUCUUUGUUUGGAUGUAUUGCUCUGUGUAACUCAGUGGGUCUCCCUCUUUCUGGUUUGUUUUUUUUUCUAGAUUCCUGCCGUUUGUUCAUCGUUGUGCCUAAAGCAUGUCGAUGUGGCGUCAAGUACAUCGUCCAAAUCCCUGUCUCUUCAGCUUCUCUGAUGCUUGAACUCUCACCUUUGACCUUGUGUUUGACCUUUGAUGCUGAUGUGUAUUUUUAUUAUGUUUGUUUCUUUUCUUUGUUUUUUCUUUUUUCUUUCCUUUUUUUCUUUUGUGCUGCCAAAUUGGUUUUGCUAGAACGACUGCUGAAGGGGAAAUAUUUAAACUUGCAUUUGAAUAUAAAAAAAAUCUAUUUUUCUAGAACUUCAUAAGAUAACCACUUGAUUUUGUGAUUCCAAUUCUUUGUAAUUGUCUUCAGAGCAGCCCUACUAGCACAUACCGCGUAGUGUUUGUAUUUCUGUGAACACACAGCCAGUCCGUUUCUAGGCUUUGUUUCUGUGUGCUUAGUUUUAAAGACAACUUUGAAGUAAACAAUGAAAUAAAAGAUGUCACUGAAACCUUUGAGGCUCCUGAGCACAUUUUGCUGAUACAGUUUGUGGGGCUUGAGGAGACCGCAUGUGUUUAUUUUUGUUUUCUAAGUUCUCACUGCAGAAAACACCCGAACCCCUUUCCUUUUUGACAGCGGGCUGCAGCCCCAGCGGCCCUGCUCCUUUGGGGCUCUGCCUGCAGCCGCCUGCAGGGAGCCUUCAGACCCCGGCCCUGCCCGGGCCGCUGCCCCUUCUAUGCUUGUUCCCACAGUCUCCACAGCAAAAUGUGAUGCUUUGAUUUUUUUUUUUUUUUUUUUUUUUUUUUUUGGUUUUUGUUUUUGUAUUGUUUUUGUGCUUUUGUUUGGAAUUUUUUCCUUUCCUACUAAGAUUAUGCCCAGAAAAAACAAGUUUUGCAUGUUUCCUGCUGUUUCUUCACACCUUCUUAUAUAUCACCUUCACCUCUCUGUUUUCUAUAGUUUGUGCAAAAACUGACCGAUUUAAAAGGGUUUCAAAGAAGCUGUUUUAAGUUGUUGUGGGGUUGAUUAUUUUUUUUCAAGAUUGUAUUGUUUUAUUUUGAAGUGGCAACUUUCUCCUCUAUUGCCCUUAGAGCGUUUGCCUGUGCACUUAGACUGUCACCUCAUGUGGCCUCCAGGCCUCAGCAGGGCCUCCAGGAGGCUGGCUGCUCUGCUCAGAGAUGGGUUAGGGGGCGCCUGAGAGGCACGGGAACAGAGGCAGGAUCCAGAAGGUGGCUGCGGGUGGGCAGGAGGCUUAGUGCAUUAGGGGUAGCGAGCAUCUCUCAGCCCAGAGGAAGGAGGGUGCUCUCGACCACUCAGAGGCGGCCAUCUGUGCACUAAGCGGCAGUACACCUGCCGGCGCUUUUCCUAGGUGACAAGCACAAUACUACAGUCUUCACACUGUUUACAGCCCUGGCCACCAGCCACCCCACACUGGCUCUUCACCGCAGCUCUGCUCUCAUUGGCUAGUGAGAUGGGGUAAGGGCAGGGGUCUGUUUUUUUUAAAUUGGGUGAAGAGCCAACUAGCUACUGUCCCUGGGUGCCAGGCAAACCAGCUCCUUGCCCUCCUCUCUGUGGCACCAUCAGCCUCAGGGUCUUAGGGGUUUGUGUAAGAAUGUGAAUGGCGGAGGAAGAGCCAGGGGAGAUGAGGGUCACAGGAUGAUCUGUGGAGGUAAGAGGUUGCAGAGAGAGGAGUUUGUGCUAGAUCCCACCCAGAGAAGAACUAAGCUGCUGGUGGGCGGGAGAGCUGGGCAGCAGGAGUGCUGGGAAGGGUGGAGAGGGUGGGGUAGCCGAGGGAUGGGGAGGGGGUGGGGAAGGUAGAAGCACUGUUAGCACCAUCCACGCUGGAGUUGGUGAAGGAAGGGACCCCAGCAGUUUCAGGUCUGGGACCCAGCGGGUUGCCUAGGAUUAUGCUUGAGGCCAUUCUUACUAGAAGGAAAGGGCGGCCACGUGGAGGCCAGUGUACGGCAGACUGCUUAACUUCCUGGAAGGGCGAGUGGAUGGAAGGAGGCCAGGAACCCAGCCUGAGCACUGCCGUGCCCCUACAGUCUGACUGCACAGAGCCGCCUCUGUUGGCAGAAGGCGCUGAGGCUCCCCUUCCUGUGUAUUCAGAUCCGUGUUUGCCAAUAUAUUUUGCUUUUAAUUCCAAGAGGAGCUCUGGGAAAACCUGUGGAUAAAACCAAAUGCCAAACGUUGGACGUUUCCUUUUCUUUUUCUCACUGAUUGUUUUAAUUGUUCUGUGGUGGUUUUAAUGGAUUUGAGACCCUGGAGCGGCAGCUGCCUUUCUGAUUUCCAGCUGCUUUUUGUGAAUAAUUUAAAAAGAAAAAAAAAAGAAUCUUUACAUUUUGGAGACAAACCUGUGUGAGUUUUUUAUUGGUACAAACGUUGUAUUUAACACUAGGGGUUUUGUACAGUUUUUUGCCUUUUCUACUAGAAAACAAUGUAAAGUGAUUUCACAAUGUGAAGAGAAAAAAUUGCCACUAUGACCAAACGCACAGUCUGUUCUGCAGCAACAACGGGAUUCAAUCAACUCAAAGUCGUGAUUCAGCCGUAGAAAUGCUUUUCCUUUACCUUGUUUGAGCUUUUCCUUUCUUCCCUGUUUUGAUUUGCAAAAGAAAAUGUCUUUUUUGUGUGAACUUGUGUUGUACUAUGUAGAAAAUUAUGGAUUUUACUUUAAUGGUUUAAAAAAAAAAAAAAAAAAAGGCAAGAAGAGCCCUUGUCGCUUUUCUGACCUGAUCACAGUUUGUGUAGUGGAUUAAAAAAGAAAAAAACAUUGUUAAAAGUUUGGAGCAAGGGAGUAUGUGUUUAAAAUGAAUCUCCUUUUUUUGUGUGUUUUUCCUUUUGUCCCAAUGGGGAACCUAAAUCUGUUUUAAUUGCACAGACACACGGACAAAAAGUCAUUUUGUAUCUGCCAAGUGUGGUACCUUCCUUUGUUUAUUUGCUAUUAAACUGUUUGAGAAGAA